AGAGUUUGAUCCUGGCUCAGGAUGAACGCUAGCGGCAGGCUUAACACAUGCAAGUCGAGGGGUAGAGGUUGCUUGCAACCUUGAGACCGGCGCACGGGUGCGUAACGCGUAUGCAACCUACCUUUUACAGAGGGAUAGCCCAGAGAAAUUUGGAUUAAUACCUCAUAGUAUAUAUCUUUCGCAUGUUAGGUAUAUUAAAGUUCCAACGGUAAAAGAUGGGCAUGCGUCCUAUUAGCUAGAUGGUAAGGUAACGGCUUACCAUGGCUACGAUAGGUAGGGGUCCUGAGAGGGAGAUCCCCCACACUGGUACUGAGACACGGACCAGACUCCUACGGGAGGCAGCAGUGAGGAAUAUUGGACAAUGGGCGCAAGCCUGAUCCAGCCAUGCCGCGUGCAGGAAGAAGCAUCUAUGGUGUGCAAACUGCUUUUGUACAGGAAGAAACAUCCCGACGUGUCGGGACUUGACGGUACUGUAAGAAUAAGGAUCGGCUAACUCCGUGCCAGCAGCCGCGGUAAUACGGAGGAUCCAAGCGUUAUCCGGAAUCAUUGGGUUUAAAGGGUCCGUAGGCGGUUUGGUAAGUCAGUGGUGAAAGCCCGCAGCUCAACUGUGGAACGGCCAUUGAUACUGCCAGACUUGAAUUACAAGGAAGUAACUAGAAUAUGUAGUGUAGCGGUGAAAUGCUUAGAUAUUACAUGGAAUACCAAUUGCGAAGGCAGGUUACUACUUGUGGAUUGACGCUGAUGGACGAAAGCGUGGGGAGCGAACAGGAUUAGAUACCCUGGUAGUCCAA
rnacentral:rRNA from 1 species